rnacentral:lncRNA from 1 species
GUUAAAGGAGACCUUUCUGAGUCUCGGAUGUCCAGUGUCUUGCUAACAUAGACCCUAUAUAAGUCAGGUAAGAGGGAACUUAAGGUGACAAAUGGUCGUCUUCCCACUUUCAGCGAUAAUCCUUUGGGGUCUGGCAACCCCCCUUUGUGAACUCAACGGGUAGUCCCUUAUCACAAGAAAUGUUUAUUGCCCAGCACAUGUUGUCUCUUUCCCAUCAUAGUGUGAAUGGAGAGAGGGGGAGGGAGAGAGUCAGGCCAUUAGGAUGUCAGAGAAAGUGGGUCAGAGGGAAAUCUGUGUGGACCUGAAGAUCGCGUCUCCUGUGAUAUAAAGAUGUUUAAAUAGGACAUGUUCCUACACAUUCAUGUUCUGUCAUUACAGAUAACCUUGUUGUCCAGAGUUGGUGACAAAAACCUCAGGGAUUGCACUACAAAGUGCAUGAACAGGCUCAUGACGAAUGGAGUCAUGGCGAAAUACAACAUGCAUGGAGGGGGACAACAUGACAAACUGCCUUUUAAGUUAAAAAAGCUGUGUCAUGUGAUCAAGUGUAAGAAACUAAGAUUGAUAUAACCAGGGUUCGUACACAUUUUUAGAGGUCAAAUUCAAGCACUUUUCAAGCACUUUUAACACUAGAACGGCCAAGACGGUCAUUUUGACCGUUUUCAGAUUUAUAUGUGCAAUAACUUUGUUGAAUGAAGAAAUGCAAUGUUGCCCUUUCAUGACUUUUCCUAAAUGUGUCUGAAUUUUAAUCUUAAAUAGUUUUUAUAUAAAUUACACAAAAGACAAAGAAAAUAUUAUAGAUUAUACCUAUUCCGGCCACAAGCGGUCAUAUUGACCGCUCAUCAUUUCGCGAGUUUCAUUGUUUCAUUUUUCGCGCGGUUUGCUGCUCUCUUUGUCUCUCUUGUCUCUGUGUUAGCGUCUCCAGCUGCUCUUCCUUGCGAAUUUACUUGUGAGUUAAUUAUUAUAUAGCUGCAUUUUAUAGCCUGGUUGGCACCAUGGGCAAACAAAAACGGGAGUUCCCCCCUCCGUGAAACAGCCAGCGG